rnacentral:lncRNA from 1 species
AAAUCAAGUUAAAAAAAAAACAACUAAGAACAGAUAGGGAGGAGUGUCCAGUGUAACAGAUCCCUCUUUAUUUAGUCAGUUAUGAAUGACUAGUCACUCAGGUCGGGCAUUCUUACUGGGACUACUCUUCGGUCAUUACUACCAGCUUCCUAGGGUCUCCGAAAAAUGCAACCUCAGUAAUUUCAAGUCAGAGAAGUUUGGAUGCCUCGUGUGUUUGAUGUGGCUGGAACUACAUCAAACAACAGCAAUAAAGAACGCUUCUGAAGGAUUUAGUCUAACUGCCUCUUAGUAUUUCUGAACAAGGGCAGGGAAAAAAAGCCUCUUCCAGCCAUUAUUGUGACUGUUCACAUAUUUUCCAUUUACUGUACAAAUUUUAAUCUCAGCCCAUUAUAUGAAACAAAAUGAAAGCAGGAAACACUUGAUCUGAACAACUCUUUGUCAUUCUUCAGAAAAGGCUUAUACAAAAGAACUAAAGAAACAAGUAAACAAAGUUUUAGUUGUUAUUAAAAGACACCAGAAAACCAGUUGUGAUAGGACUCUGAAAAUUUUUUGAUCACACUGGUUGGCAGACAGUCUUCUCAAGUCCCAGGGGAAUAAUUGGUUUUGUGUAAAAAGGUUAGAAAAGAUUAAAGUCAGAGGCAACAGCAAUAUAGAGUGUUUUGCAAACACAAAAUAUCAUGAAGUCAAAGAACACAGAUAGGAAAAAACAAAAACUUACAAAAUAACUUCCUGUUGAAAUAAUACUUUUUCUAGAAGACUAUAAAAAGUUCUGUUUGCUUUAAGACAGAUGGUAAAAACUGAGGAAAUAGACUUCAGAAAAUCAUAUUGAUGGCAAUAAUAGCAACCUCUAAUGUUGAUCUGGUUUGUGUAAAAUUGGUAUUAUUCCUGUUUGUGUGUGCUUAGUCACUUAGCCAUGCCUUACUCUUUGUGAUCCCAUGGACUGUAGCCUGCCAGGCUCCUCUGUCCANNNNNNUUUCCAGGCAAGAAUACUGGAGUGGGUUACCAUUUCCUCCUCCAGGGGAUGUAUUACUUCUUCCUUAAAUAUUUGGGAAAAUUCACCAGGAAAAUCAUCUAGGCCUGAGAUUUUCUUUGUGGGAUUUUCUGUUUCUUUUUGCUAAUUCUUGUUUUACAGGAGUUUGCUCGCUUCAUCUAAGUCACUGGAUUUACUGGCAUAACA